UACGUAGGGGGCAAGCGUUGUUCGGAAUUACUGGGCGUAAAGGGCUCGUAGGCGGCCAACUAAGUCGGAUGUGAAAUCCCCAGGCUCAACCUGGGAACUGCAUCCGAUACUGGAUGGCUUGAAUUCGGGAGAGGGAUGCAGAAUUCCAGGUGUAGCGGUGAAAUGCGUAGAUAUCUGGAGGAAUACCGGUGGCGAAGGCGGCAUCCUGGACCGACAUUGACGCUGAGGAGCGAAAGCCAGGGGAGCAAACGGG
rnacentral:rRNA from 1 species